CAGUCGCCGCGGUAAUACGGAGGGUGCAAGCGUUAAUCGGAAUUACUGGGCGUAAAGCGCACGCAGGCGGUCUGACAAGUCAGAUGUGAAAUCCCCGGGCUUAACCUGGGAACUGCAUUUGAAACUGUCAGGCUGGAGUCUUGUAGAGGGGGGUGGAAUUCCAGGUGUAGCGGUGAAAUGCGUAGAGAUCUGGAGGAAUACCGGUGGCGAAGGCGGCCCCCUGGACAAAGACUGACUCUCAGGUGCGAAAGCGUGGGGAGCAAACAGGAUUAGAUACCCCUGUAGUCCCUGUCUCUUAUAC
rnacentral:rRNA from 1 species